UGAGAGCACAUUUUAGAAAAA
rnacentral:piRNA from 1 species